rnacentral:rRNA from 2 species
GGAUGUGAUCAUACCAGCACUAAAGCACCGGAUCCUAUCAGAACUCCGAAGUUAAGCGUGCUUGGGCGAGAGUAGUACUAGGAUGGGUGACCUCCUGGGAAGUCUUCGGGUUGUAUUCC